UCGAAGGGUCAUCACUGUAAUAAACCCUAGCCCUAAUGUUAGCAUUUCCCUCAAUUUCUACCCUAAACUGAUGGAAUCAUGGAGAAGAGAAGCGAGAAUUAACCAUGCCCAAGUUGAUAAACCCCAGGAGCAGGUUAUCUGCCUAGCACAGAAUUGACUUUGCAUGAUCUUCUGAAAAAGACAGCACUAGCGAAAUGCAGAGACAGAUAAACCCCAGGAGCAGGUCAUCUGCCUAGCACGGAAUUGACUUUGGAUGAUCUUCUGAAAAAAACAGCACUAGCGAAAUGCAGAGACAGGUUAGUUAUACUUGCCAGUCGGAGUUAUCGAUAAUUUUCUUGAGAUCUUUGCAAAUUUUAACUGUGCUAGGUCACAAUGUUAUAUCUUUUACUAUAUAUUUACCUUUAUAUUGCUUUCUAUAGUAUGC